UGUAUAACAGUAACAAGACAUUUAGUGGAGGUGAGAUAUGCUGUGACACCAGGUCAAAUGAAAAAAGCAGACAACAAAAUCACAUGACCAACAGAGAAAAGAAAAUGCUUUCUUUGCCUGUUGUUGUGGUUUACAAGAAACAUCACCAUAGUAAUUUCAGUGAGAAAAUGAUUU